CUCUUAUCCAGAGCGACUGAGGGAUUCGGCCCGAUGAAGUCGCGGCAACCCGGUAAGCCCAUUCGCCCAUUACCGAAAAGGCUUUCCAAGGUGCCAAUUCCGACCCGGACGGGGGAAACGUCCGGGAGAGAUGAGAG
rnacentral:ncRNA from 2 species